UACGAAGGGUGCAAACGUUGCUCGGAAUCAUUGGGCGUAAAGCGCGCGUAGGUGGCCCCGUAAGUCCGCUGUGAAAGUCAAAGGCUCAACCUUUGAAAGCCGGUGGAUACUGUGGGACUAGAGUACGGAAGAGGCGAGUGGAAUUCCUGGUGUAGCGGUGGAAUGCGCAGAUAUCAGGAGGAACACCAAUAGCGAAGGCAGCUCGCUGGGACGUUACCGACACUGAGGCGCGAAAGCGUGGGGAGCGAACAGG
rnacentral:rRNA from 1 species